rnacentral:rRNA from 1 species
UGAGCAAUCUGCCCUUCUCUUCGGAAUAAGCGUUGGAAACGACGUCUAAUGCCGAAUACGACCUCCUUUCACAUGAUCGGAGGUGGAAAGCUCCGGCGGAGAAGGAUGAGCUCGCGGCCUAUCAGCUAGUUGGUGUGGGUAAUGGCCCACAAGGCGACGACGGGUAGCCGGCCUGAGAGGGUGACCCGGCCACACUGGGACUGAGACACGGCCCAGACUCC